rnacentral:rRNA from 1 species
UUGAACGCUGGCGGCAGGCCUAACACAUGCAAGUCGAGCGGUAGAGAGGUGCUUGCAUCUCUUGAGAGCGGCGGACGGGUGAGUAAUGCCUAGGAAUCUGCCUAGUGGUGGGGGAUAACGUUCGGAAACGGACGCUAAUACCGCAUACGUCCUACGGGAGAAAGCGGGGGAUCUUCGGACCUCGCGCCAUUAGAUGAGCCUAGGUCGGAUUAGCUAGUUGGUGGGGUAAUGGCUCACCAAGGCGACGAUCCGUAACUGGUCUGAGAGGAUGAUCAGUCACACUGGAACUGAGACACGGUCCAGACUCCUACGGGAGGCAGCAGUGGGGAAUUUUGGACAAUGGGCGCAAGCCUGAUCCAGCCAUUCCGCGUGAGUGAAGAAGGCCUUCGGGUUGUAAAGCUCUUUCGCAAGGGAAGAAAACUUACACAAUAACACUGUGUGAGGCUGACGGUACCUUGAUAAGAAGCACCGGCUAACUACGUG